rnacentral:rRNA from 1 species
AAUAGUAUUGUACUAGAAACCCAAAGAAUUUGGCGGUAUUUUAUUUCUUUUUUAGAGGAACCUGUCCUGUAAUUGAUAGUCCACGAUGGAAAUUACUUGUUUUUGUAUUCAUUUUGUAUACCUCCGUCAUCAGAGUAUCUUUUUAGAGUUAAUAUUCUAAAUAUACAAAAUAUAUUAUGUCAGGUCAAGGUGCAAUUUAUGGACAAGUAGAGAUGGGUUACAAUAAAAUUAUUUAUACGGAUUAUUAUUAUUAUAGAUAAUAUGAAGGUGGAUUUAAAAGUAAAAUUAUUUACUUGAUAUUUUGAUUUUAGCUCUAAAAUAUGCACACAUCGCCCGUCGCUCUUAUUUUAAAAUAAGAUAAGUCGUAACAUAGUAGGGGUACCGGAAGGUGUCCCUAGU